rnacentral:rRNA from 1 species
UCCAGAGACCUCAAGCGUUAUCCGGAAUCAUUGGGCGUAAAGCGUACCGAUGGGGGGUUUAGAAAGUCAGAAGUGAUAUCUUAAGGCUUAACUUUGAGACUGUCUUUUGAAACUUCUAAACUAGAGGGGCAAAGAGGAAGCUGGAACGAACGGUGUAGUAGUGAAAUGCGUUGAUAUCGUUCGGAACACCAAUAGCGUAGGCAGGCUUCUGGGUGCCACCUGACACUGCUAGGACGAAAGCGUGGGGAGCGAAUGGG